GGGCUCGUAGCUCAGCUUGGAUUAGAGCGACUGUACGCAAUGUUUUUUGCUUAUCCGCUAAAGCCUCCUAAGCUGUAGGCCCUGGGUUCGAAUCCCAGCGGGCCCG
rnacentral:tRNA from 1 species